rnacentral:lncRNA from 1 species
CUUGCACUAAAGACUUUAGAUACAAGUACUAUUAUUAUUUCCUUUUUACAGGCAUGGUAAUCUGGAUUCAGAGACAUUAAGAGACUUGUUUAAGAUCACAAAACUAGUAAGAAGCACAGCUGAUAUGGAAACCCAGAGUUUGAGAUCCUAUAUACUGCUCGCGGUUCUUUAUGACCCCUCACAGAAGAAACACAUCAAGAUGCUAAGAAGAACUGUGAGGUACAUGUAUUUUCCUAUGACAAAGUGUUGGUAACUGGCUAAAUCCAAUACAUUAAUCUCUGAUGUAUCAAAAAUAUAAAUCUUGUAAAUGACACUGAAUAGCAAGUGUCUUAAGACUGGUACUUUUGAUCAAGAGAUUUUCUGUUUGCUCCAAAAGCCUAACAAUGAAAAACAAAAUAUAAGAAAAAAUAUAAGAAAAUGAUACCAUAAAUAAGAUAAACAUCUUUAUGGACCAGUAAUAGAAAAGAAAUAUACAGAGUGAGAAGCAAGACUGAAUGUGCUUAAUUGCUAGUCUUCAGGUCCAGAUGAAGACAGAAGUAGCUGAGAGAUCAUCUCUUGUAAACUGAAGUAGGGUAAAAAUCCUCCACCCAAAAUACAAGUCUAGAGCCAAGCCCACUGCCUACAACCAUAGCCCAAGGAAUGUUAUCCCUAUUCAGGAGUGGAAGUUAAGGUAAGUUACUUCUGAACGCUGCCAGGAGUUAUGAUGCUUAUGUGAUGUUCAGUUCCUAGAGGAAUAGGUGUACAUGGAUAUGAAUUCAUGAUCAGUGGAUAAGCUAAAAUACCUGCUGGGUUGGUCACUAGAUCAGUAGAACUCCAUGUAAAGUCCUGGGGUAGGGGUACCAGGUAGAGGCAACUCCAAGGCCACAAGGCAGGAAGAAAGUAGGAGAGAUGGCAAAAAAUGGAGAGAGUUAUUACAAGAUUAGUCGGAAGACUGAGGCUUAAAAGGAUGACAAAUAUUACGUAGAUAAAAAUCAGCAAUCAGAGGAUAAUUUCAUAUCAGGUCAAACUAAAAUAGAAUCAUCUGAAGAUUUUAAUACAAGUGUGUUUAAUAUCCUUCAAGAAAUAACUAAUGAAAAAAACAGAAGAAGAAAAUAAACUAUGGAAAAAAAUCAGAUAUGAGGUAAGAAAAAAG